CUUUUUCUAUAUAUAAAUACAUAUAUAUAUCUAUAUAUAUAAAUUAAGCUUUUUUGCUGUAAGUUGUUAGAUGUUAGUGUGCGGUGUUGCACAAAAUGAGUAGACUUCAAUAAUCCCGUGGCGACGACCGACGUUCUUUAUUAUCAAAAAUCAACUAAAGUACAGUGACAUAAAUUCUUAUAUCCAAAGCUAGCCCUAAACCC